AAUGUUGACGCAAUCUAUAAAUAGUGGAACAAAAGGACCAACUUCCUCGGAGCUUUGCUGAAACUGCACAAAAAAUGGAGCUGGGGGGUUCCCUGGUCCCCGAUGUUGGGGCGGGGAGCGCGGCGCCGAGGGAGGGGGCGGCGCAGACCAGCCAAGGGGACACCUGGUCGAGCGCAGCCGCCGCUCCGCUCGAGCCCUGCGCUCCAGUGCCCCCAGUGCCCCCACUGGCUGGAGAGCUCGCCCAGACCGGGGGUCUUCCUCCCUCGCUGACAGAUUCUAACUGUUAGAAGAGUACCAAUUCUGGAAAACAACCAAAGUUUCUUUGAAUGAAUGCCCACGUAAUGCAUUGGAAUAUAAUAAGAGAUUAAGGUUUAACAAUGUUAAAAUGAAGAUAUUACUAAAAUGGCCCUCUAAAUAGCCCAACAAUUAUUAUUUUCAUUAUCCUAUGAAUUUGGCUUUGAAAGGUGUGCUGCUCUUAAUAAGACACCGACUGACAUUUACCAACUGUGUCAAAGCUACAUGAGCUAGGUAGAUACUGCUGGAACUUUAACAGGCAUCAAGCAAGUCUAUAGAAGCACUGAGCUGUGCCACUACCCAGUGUUCUUCCAGAACACACAAACUGAAGGGGGCUGGAGCCUUCCAAUGAGAACUGUUGUGUGAUUAAUCAAUGAGGCUGACUAAAGCACACACCUAUAAUCCCAGUACUCAGAGAGACAAAGAAGGACAUCAGCGCAAGGCCAACAAGGCUUCAAAGCAAGUUCCAACCAGACUGGACCAUGAGACCCUAUUUCAGAAACAAAUAAUAAAAGCUUGAUGAAGCUGCAAAAAUUACUCAUUUUAUCAAAUCCUGAUUCUUGUAUACUGAACUACACACAAAAGCACUUGUGUGGCCAGUGGGUGCGGUCAGAAAGGAGUACAGGCUCACGUGACUCAGCUACAAGCUGAGACAGCUGCUGUUAUUAGGAAAACAAUGGAAGCCAGCAGUAUGCAGAUUUAGGUAGCAGAUGAAUCUUAAAAGUGAGUAAAAUGAGCUGGGUACUUCCAGAAACACAAUACUUCUUGAUCCCGGAAAGGGAAAAGGCUGGGUUUUUAUGUUAAAAUUUGAAUUUCUGCUAUAUGUACUUAUAAUCUUCCCAUUAAAGAUGCUGAUAAAUAAUAAAGUUAACAAAUGUGAGGGUUAUUGGGGAUUAUAUAAUGAAAUAUGUCAAUGUUUGGAGAUCUCUGUAAUAAUGUUAUAAAUCAGAGAGAGAAGACUUGUUUAAAAUAUAAGAAAGGGUUGGAGUGUGGCUCAGUGUGAGAGCUCUUGCCAAGGCCCUGAGUUCAAUUCCCAAUAAUACAGAAAUAAAAAAUAAGUAUGAUC
rnacentral:lncRNA from 1 species